rnacentral:rRNA from 1 species
GACAGAGGAUGCAAGCGUUAUCCGGAUUCACUGGGUUUAAAGGGUGCGUAGGCGGGCAGGUAAGUCAGUGGUGAAAUCUCCGGGCUUAACCCGGAAAUUGCCGUUGAUACUAUUUGUCUUGAAUAUUGUGGAGGUAAGCGGAAUAUGUCAUGUAGCGGUGAAAUGCUUAGAUAUGACAUAGAACACCAAUUGCGAAGGCAGCUUACUACACAACGAUUGACGCUGAGGCACGAAAGCGUGGGGAUCAAACAGG